rnacentral:rRNA from 1 species
UACAGAGGUCCCGAGCGUUGUUCGGAUUCACUGGGCGUAAAGGGUGCGUAGGUGGUGAGGUAAGUCGGAUGUGAAAUCUCCGGGCUCAACCCGGAAAUGGCAUUGGAAACUACCUUGCUCGAGGGUUGGAGGGGGGACUGGAAUACUUGGUGUAGCAGUGAAAUGCGUAGAUAUCAAGUGGAACACCAGUGGCGAAGGCGAGUCCCUGGACAACACCUGACACUGAGGCACGAAAGCCGGGGGAGCAAACAGG